rnacentral:rRNA from 1 species
GAGGCCGACAGGCGUAGGCGAUGGAUAACAGGUUGAUAUUCCUGUACCACCUAGUAUCGUUUUAAUCGAUGGGGGGACGCAGUAGGAUAGGCGAAGCGUGCUGUUGGAGUGCACGUCCAAGCAGUAAGGCUGAGUGUUAGGCAAAUCCGGCACUCAUAAGGCUGAGCUGUGAUGGGGAGAGGAAAUUGUUUCCUCGAGUCGUUGAUUUCACACUGCCGAGAAAAGCCUCUAGAUAGAUAACAGGUGCCCGUACCGCAAACCGACACAGGUA